ACUGAACCCGCAACCUCACCGUUCCUAGUUGGAUUCGUUAACCACUGAGCCUCGACAGGAACUCCUCCCGUUUCUUUUUUUCCCUCUUUCUACCUCUUACUCCCCAGCCCACACAGAUCCAAUAAAGCUGAGAGGGGGACCUCGAGGGCUCUUGGGUUCUCAAGCCCACCACGUGCAGGCUUCUGUGACACUUCCUACACCUGUGCCCAUCUCCUCUGCCUGGAACUCCCUCCCAAGAGGCCUGAGGCUCGGGGAGGGCGAGGCUCCUGCUCAAGGUCAAGGUUUAAGGUGGCUCCAAAAGCCCAUUGUCUUCCUCCUCUCUCUCCUUUCCUUCCAUUCCCUUCUUUUCCUCCUUCCUUCCCGCCUUCCUUUUCUCCCUUCUCAAAUUCUUUCUUUUUUCUUUUUUGGCCACCCUGCAGCAUAGGGAAGUUCCCGGGCCUGGGAUCAGAUCUGAGCCACAGCUGCGGCCACGCCGGAUCCUUAACCCACUGUGUCGGGCCAGGGAUUGAACCUGCGUCCAGGUGCUCCAGAGAUGCUGACGGUCCCGUUGCAACACAGAGGGAAAUCCUCUCACCAAAUUCGUGUUUCUUGUUUCCCUUCUGGGGCUUCAAGAUGCCAAGACAAAUGGACAGAGUGGCCGGGAGAAGCAGAAAGAUGUUAAGAGAAGGAGAUCUGGAGAGGAUGCAGGGCCAGGGUGGUUUUGAAGAUUAAGUGAGACACUGCAUUUGAAAGCGCUUGGAGGAAGUCAUUGCUCAAAAACGAUGAUGCUUCAUAAGUAUUUCAAAAAUGAGGAUUUUUCGUAAGUAUUUAAAUAGCCGUUUAUUUAAUGGCCCUUGUGUAUGGGAAACAAUACGCCCAGUCCGGUCCAUCUAGGGGAUUUGAAGAAGACAGAGACCAGAGGUGUGCUGGUAAAGUGGCCCUGGGGAGUGGGAAGGCCUGGCUGGCAGUGUUUGAUGGUUUCUGUAGUUUAAAUAGCCCCACUAUGGUCAAUUUAAAGCUACCAGCAGUUUGAAGUUUCUGUCGUGGCUCAGUGGCAACGGACCCGACUAGCAUCCAUGAGCAUAUGGGUUCGAUCCCUGGCCUCGCUCAGUGGGUGAAGGAUCUGUUGCUGCUAUAAGCUAGCUGUGGUGUAGGUCGCAGACGUGGCUUAGAUCCUGCGUGGCUGUGCCAUAAGCCGGCAGCUGCAGCUCCUAUUUGACCCCUAGCCUGAGAACCUCCGUAUGCCACAGGUGCAGCCCUAAAAAGCAAAAAAAAAAAAAAAGUUACUGGCUGUUUAAGAAAUGGCUGGCAAAAUUCUGAACAAUCGGCUCUGGAGAGCCGUCCCCAACCCAAAGGGCUUUCUCUCUAGUUAGCAGAUGACACAUGAGUGAAAAUUAAACAAUGGUGGCUCACAGAGACCCAGCCCAGUCCAGAGACGGUCGGCUCAUCCGGCCGCAGGGGCUAGAGGGCCUUUGAGGGUGAGCUUCACUGCCAGUGCUGUGACUGGGGCUGCUGUGCUCUGGGGAGAAGGAAGGAGUGCAGGCUGGCUUCUGCUCAGGCUGUUCAGGGGGAUGGGGGGUGGGAGCCUGGCAUUUUGGGUUCCAGUGGGUGCGGAAGGAUCAUGUCUCAGAAGAUGCAAACCCUGGACUCUGCCUCCAGCCAGAGGGUCACAGACAUCAGUUCCAUCAUCGGCACGAUGAAGGCAGGUCUCGCAUGCACAUCCUGGCUCAGC
rnacentral:lncRNA from 1 species